rnacentral:rRNA from 1 species
AACGUAGGAGGCGAGCGUUAUCCGGAGUUACUGGGCGUAAAGAGCGUGUAGGCGGGUAUGCAAGUUUGGCGUGAAAGCUCCCGGCUAAACUGGGAGAGUGCGCUGAAGACUGCGUAUCUAGAGGCGAGUAGAGGGACGUGGAAUUCCGGGUGUAGUGGUGAAAUGCGUAGAGAUCCGGAGGAACACCAGUGGCGAAGGCGACGUCCUGGGCUUGACCUGACGCUGAGACGCGACAGCACGGGGAGCGAACGGG